CUCAAAAAACAAAUAAAUAAAAUCAGAACGAAAAAAUAUAAUAAUCACAAGUACAUAAGAACAAAUUCAUAUACUUUUUAAUUUUAUUUUUAAUGAAGAAAGGAGCCCACAAAGACAAAAAUACCCUCAGCAUUUCCAGGCACCACAAGAGUCACAAUGAGGCCCUAGUAAGGACACCAAUCCAGUUGAAGUUCAUGUAUUCAUACUGAGUACUCCUGGAAAUUUUCAUAUUUUAAAUUUAUAUAUUGCGCAAGACUUAGUCUUUGAUUUUCUAGUUUUUUCUAUUUAUACUAACACCUCAGAGACCUAAUACAUUUCAUGGCCUUUGUUUACUGUCUCUAUCGUAAUGACUUCCAAGUCCCUCUCUUCUCUAUUCUUGUGUUGGAGUUCUAAUUUUGUACUUCUAAGUACCUGUUGGGUAUUUCCACCUGUGUAUCUCAUCGCUGGCUCAGCCGACAAACACAUCACUGAGCUCACCAUCUUCCCCUGCUCUUCGGUUUUCUCUCUUCAAUUUUCCUGUCUAUUAGAGUUCCUGCUAACUCUGUAGUCAUUAAUGAACCAACCACAAGCUUGUCUCCUUCUUCAUCCCCUUAUCUGAGGACCUGAUUGAGCCUCUGGUCCCAUGCCCACUGCCAUCCCUAUUGAAGUCUCACUGCCAGUCCCUCAGCCAAGCAUCCUUACUUCUCAUCGAGUUCCACAUGCAGACUCCUGACUGACUUCUCUGCAUUCCAGCUUCCUUGUGCGAUACAUUCCUGACCCUCCCCGAAUUGAUCUUUGUACUGCUUUCAUCAUUUUCCUCCUCUGCUCCAUAAUUCCUCCGCACUUCAACCCAAACUCCUCACCCAGUUUAGAAAGCUCUGCUCACGUGGUUCCUCCCACUGUGGACAAUGCAUCUCCCAACACAUUAACACCCACCAGAGGUGAUGAUUAAGGAGUCCCUUCACUCACGAACUAGACUUGCUGUCUUAGUCUUUUGUGUCUGCUCUUUCUUUCAUUCAUUUACUCCAUUUUUGGGGUAACUACUCUGUCCCAGGCACAGACACCUUAAAUGGUCCUCUAUUACCUAUUCCAACCCUAUACAGCUUUCAAAGCUCAGGUCAACUUCCAAUCCAUGAAGCCCAGGUCUCCCUUCUAUCACAAGUCUUUUUCCUCUGAACUCCUGGGAAGCUUAGAGACAUUGUCAAACAUUUAGGACUUAAACAUGUGACAUGAGAUUUCCUGACUGUGUCACGCAUGCUCUCCAGUCUGACUUGUUUGAGUUUCUGCAAAGAUCUUUACAGAAGAUCUAUCUUCUUACCACUCAGCUGCAGCUGGCAUCGAGCCCUGGCUGGACUAGUCAUGCUAACCCCUUGGUUAUUAAUCAUCGCCAUGAUUUUUCAUGUGUUUACUAUAGUAUGAUCCAGGCGUUGACUAUACUGGGCACUUUAUGAGGUUGUUAUUAUCCUCCGUUUUUUACAGAUGAGGAAAGUGAGGCUCAGAGGGGUUAAGUGACUUCUCCAGUUUUACAUAGUUUGAAAGUGGCUGACUGAGAAUUUGAAUAUAGGUCCGACAUAAUUCAAAUAUUGUGCUCUUGACCACUUAACUAAAUUAACUCUACUUUCUGAUUGAUUCACAUAUGUUGAAAUCUACUCAUUCUCCUCCUAGUGUCAUUAUGUUUGUUUAUUCUCUCCUUUAUAUUUUUAAGGCCUGCUGGUCUAUCCUUUCCAGGAUCUACACUUAUGCUGGACCCACUAAGCUGUCCUAGAACAUCAUAGUAAAUGUUCACCAGAUAUUAAUUAUUUGAGUGAGAAUGGUUGUGAGCAUUGGG
rnacentral:lncRNA from 1 species